rnacentral:rRNA from 1 species
GUUGUUGCAGUUAAAAGCUCGUAGUUGGAUCUAGGGACGCGCAUUUAUUUUUAAGCAUUUGUAUUAUCGGGUCAAACCGAUGAUUGCAAGUGUUGCGGGCUCGGUCCGUUGAUCAUCCCACAAGGGUGGUUAGCGUGUUAACCGGCCCGCCCGUCCCCUCCUUCUGGAUUCCCGUUCCUGCUAUUGAGUUAGUGGGGACGUCACAGGGAAUUUAUCAUUGCCUUCACGGGCCAGUGGUAAGUUCCUGGGGCCCAGAUCGUUUACCGUGAAAAAAUUAGAGUGUUCAAAGCAGGCAGAUUCAAUUUUCUGCCACCGAAUACAUUAGCAUGGGAUAAUGGAAUAGGACCCUGUCCUCCUCUCUUCAGUUGGUUAAUUUACGUGUGAGGAUCAGGGUAAUGAUUAAUAGGGAUAGUUGGGGGCAUUAAUAUUUAAUUGUCAGAGGUGAAAUUCUUGGAUUUAUGAAAGAUUAACUUCUGCGAAAGCAUCUGCCAAGGAUGUUUUCAUUAAUCAAGAACGAAAGUUAGGGGAUCGAAGACGAUCAGAUACCGUCGUAGUCUUAACCAUAAACGAUGCCGACCAGCGAUUAGGAGACGUUGAAUACAAAACACCACUUUAUAUAAUUCAGUAUAUGGUCAGCAAUGGCUGUGUAUUGUUUGUAUAAAGUCCAGGUGAAUGACUCCCCUAGCAGCUUGUGAGAAAUCAUAAGUCUUUGUGUUCCGGGGGGAGUAUGGUCGCAAGGCUGACACUUAGAGGAAUUGACGGAAGGGCACCACCAGGAGUGGAGCC